CACUCCUGCGGGAGGCAGCAGUGGGGAAUUUUGGACAAUGGGCGAAAGCCUGAUCCAGCCAUGCCGCGUGCAGGAUGAAGGCCUUCGGGUUGUAAACUGCUUUUGUACGGAACGAAACGGCCUUUUCUAAUAAAGAGGGCUAAUGACGGUACCGUAAGAAUAAGCACCGGCUAACUACGUGCCAGCAGCCGCGGUAAUACGUAGGGUGCAAGCGUUAAUCGGAAUUACUGGGCGUAAAGCGUGCGCAGGCGGUUAUGUAAGACAGUUGUGAAAUCCCCGGGCUCAACCUGGGAACUGCAUCUGUGACUGCAUAGCUAGAGUACGGUAGAGGGGGAUGGAAUUCCGCGUGUAGCAGUGAAAUGCGUAGAUAUGCGGAGGAACACCGAUGGCGAAGGCAAUCCCCUGGACCUGUACUGACGCUCAUGCACGAAAGCGUGGGGAGCAAACAGGAUUAGAAACCCGAGUAGUCCC
rnacentral:rRNA from 1 species